GACGAACGCUGGCGGCGUGCUUAACACAUGCAAGUCGAACGGUAAGGCCCUUCGGGGUACACGAGUGGCGAACGGGUGAGUAACACGUGGGUGAUCUGCCCUGCACUUCGGGAUAAGCCUGGGAAACUGGGUCUAAUACCGGAUAGGACCCUAGGAUGCAUGUCCUGGGGUGGAAAGCUUUUGCGGUGUGGGAUGGGCCCGCGGCCUAUCAGCUUGUUGGUGGGGUGAUGGCCUACCAAGGCGACGGCGGGUAGCCGGCCUGAGAGGGUGACCGGCCACACUGGGACUGAGAUACGGCCCAGACUCCUACGGGAGGCAGCAGUGGGGAAUAUUGCACAAUGGGCGCAAGCCUGAUGCAGCGACGCCGCGUGAGGGACGACGGCCUUCGGGUUGUAAACCUCUUUCAGCACCGACGAAGCGCAAGUGACGGUAGGUGCAGAAGAAGGACCGGCCAACUACGUGCCAGCAGCCGCGGUAA
rnacentral:rRNA from 1 species